GGCGGUUUGAUGACAGCGAAUAUUAAAUGUGUGGAUUGAAUCCUGGAAAUUGCCAAGUAUCAUCCAACCUAGGUCGCGUUGAACCGCUCCUGGUCUUUAAUAAAUGCGUAGAGUUGCAUGAUGGUUUGUAUUGAUUGGUUGUGUCCGCCUUGAUGAUACUGGUUCUUUCUUGAACCACCUUUUAUGCAGUCCAGCGAUAAAAUGACGGGUCCAGGCUCUUAAAAAAACGUAGUUUACUGGCUGAUAUAAGCUGCCAGCGUUUAAACUAAGGAUGAUAGUGGAAUCGCGGUUUGGUGGAGUCUUGCUAGGGUAAAAAGAGCGACCCACUGGCCGCAAGUGAAUUUGUUUACAACUUAGCCAUUUCGAAUCAAAUCCAUUGAGACGUGUAUGAAGUCCCUUGCAACAGCAGUGGCCCUCAAAGGGGAGUUAGGCAUUUUCUCUUAAUUUGGAUGUUAGCUUUAACACAGCACAGCUGGCUGCUAGCGACAGCGACGCGGAAGAGCGAAAUUGACGUGGAUUUAUCACGUGGCGACCACAACAAGAGUAGCCGCAAAUAAACCACGGCGCUUACCAUUACGAUUUUUAAAAAAUAUUCUUUAAUUAAAUAUGUUUGACUUGUUUCCAUUUAACGUCCUUUUUCCCUUCCAACUAAAUUAUUCCCGGAAAGCAGAUCCCGGUGUCACAGACGUCUUUUUGAUGAAAUAAACCAACUUACAAAUGCUUGCUAAUAAUAAAACUCUAUUUAAGAAAACACUUAUAAAUUCUAAAAAUACACAUUUUUUUUUUAUAAACCAUCUUGAACAAAAUAGGUAAAGAAACGUCUGCACACCGUCCAGCCUGACAGUGGUAAAAAUUUUCUCGAACUUUUAAAUACCAAAUUUCGGAAAAUAUGUCGAAAUGUUGUGUUAACGAAUUAUCUUUAGUGCGGUACUUAGUAUUGUAGUUAA